rnacentral:rRNA from 1 species
CCCUUUUUGGCUCAGGACGAACGCUGGCGGCAGGCCUAACACAUGCAAGUCGAGCGGAUGAAGGGAGCUUGCUCCCUGAUUUAGCGGCGGACGGGUGAGUAAUGCCUAGGAAUCUGCCUGGUAGUGGGGGAUAACGUUCCGAAAGGAACGCUAAUACCGCAUACGUCCUACGGGAGAAAGCAGGGGACCUUCGGGCCUUGCGCUAUCAGAUGAGCCUAGGUCGGAUUAGCUAGUUGGUGAGGUAAUGGCUCACCAAGGCGACGAUCCGUAACUGGUCUGAGAGGAUGAUCAGUCACACUGGAACUGAGACACGGUCCAGACUCCUACGGGAGGCAGCAGUAGGAGGCGUGUACG